GGAAGCCGGGGAGUAGGGCUGGACUGUGACCACUGCCCUGGAGAGAAGACAGAAACAGGACAGAGGAUCCCGGCUGCAGCCAGCGUGAGGAAAGCUCCUCUGCUCCCUGCCAGACCGGCCAGCUGUGGAAACCCAGCAGGGCUUGCAGCAGAGCGGAGGGGCCCACCCCGUUCUUCCUCAUUUCCCACCCCUGGUGUGGGAUUUGGGGGGCUCCUGGGCAGAGUGCGAAGCUCCGGAGCCGAGGCCACUGGAUCCCCAGUGACUGCUCGGGGGGUUCCCGCUGCGUGGAGAUGCCGGCAGCACGUCGGUUCCCUGGCCUGGAGCUCUCCUUCCCUCUCCUGGCCAGACUGCGGCGACGCCUGUACACAAGGCUGGGAGGCGGCAGAAUGCAGCCAGAGGAGGGCACAGGCUGGCUGCUGGAGCUGCUGUCCGAGGUGCAGCUGCAACAGUACUUCCUGCGGCUCCGAGACGACCUCAACGUCACCCGCCUGUCCCACUUUGAGUACGUCAAGAAUGAGGACCUGGAGAAGAUCGGCAUGGGCCGGCCUGGCCAGCGGCGGCUGUGGGAGGCUGUGAAGAGGAGGAAGGCCUUGUGCAAACGCAAGUCGUGGAUGAGUAAGGUGUUCAGUGGGAAGCGACUGGAGGCUGAGUUCCCCCCUCAUCACUCUCAGAGCACCUUCCGGAAGACCUCGCCCGCCCCUGGGGGCCCAGCAGGGGAGGGGCCCCUGCAGAGCCUCACCUGCCUCAUUGGGGAGAAGGACCUGCGCCUCCUGGAGAAGCUGGGCGAUGGUUCCUUUGGCGUGGUGCGCAGGGGCGAGUGGGACGCGCCCUCAGGGAAGACGGUGAGUGUGGCUGUGAAGUGCCUGAAGCCUGAUGUCCUGAGCCAGCCAGAAGCCAUGGACGACUUCAUCCGGGAGGUCAAUGCCAUGCACUCGCUCGAUCACCGCAACCUCAUUCGCCUCUACGGGGUGGUGCUCACGCCGCCCAUGAAGAUGGUGUGCCCCCGAGAGCCUGAAGACACGCACCUUCUCCCAUGCCAGCGACACCUGGAUGUUCGGGGUGACACUGUGGGAAAUGUUCACCUACGGCCAGGAGCCCUGGAUUGGCCUCAACGGCAGUCAGAUCCUGCAUAAGAUCGACAAGGAGGGGGAGCGGCUGCCCCGGCCCGAGGACUGUCCCCAGGACAUCUACAACGUCAUGGUCCAGUGCUGGGCUCACAAGCCAGAGGACAGACCCACGUUUGUGGCCCUGCGGGACUUCCUGCUGGAGGCCCAGCCCACAGACAUGCGGGCCCUUCAGGACUUUGAGGAACCGGACAAGCUGCACAUCCAGAUGAAUGAUGUCAUCACUGUCAUCGAGGGAAGGGCCGAGAACUACUGGUGGCGUGGCCAGAACACACGGACGCUGUGUGUGGGGCCCUUCCCUCGCAACGUGGUGACCUCCGUGGCCGGCCUGUCGGCCCAGGACAUCAGCCAGCCCCUGCAGAACAGCUUCAUCCACACAGGGCAUGGCGACAGUGACCCCCGCCACUGCUGGGGCUUCCCGGACAGGAUUGACGAACUGUAUCUGGGAAACCCCAUGGACCCCCCCGACCUCCUGAGCGUGGAACUGAGCACCUCCCGGCCCCCCCAGCAUCUAGGACGGGUGAAAAGUAAGAGCCCCUCUGCUCCCUGGUGUCCCUAACUCAUCGGCUACUCAGGAAGGGGCACUGUCUUCACAGGCCACCCUAAGGCUGCUGUUCUGUCUUUGGGGACAGUGGGGUCAGGGCAGCAGGCGGGACAGCUGUGUCCCUGGCUCCGGCUGGGCGUGGGGUGGAAGACAGGCAGCUGUAUCCGCCGAGGUGGGCCUCCUCCCUCCUUCCACGGCCGAGCUCAGAUUCUGGCUUUCCUCACUUCCCCCUAAUCCUGCUCUCCUGUCCCAAGCCAAAACCACCCCAUGGCUCCGGCUCUGCCUGGAGCCUCCUCCAUCUCCCGGUCCUCUGCCUAUCAUACUGGACCGCCGUGUUCCUCAUCCUGCCGCCCGCGGCCUCCUGUAUGCUGGGGGCUUGUACAUUCACUCGCCCCCAUUCACUUCUCUCCCUUCCUCUCUCUCUAUACUCUGCCCUCUCGUCUGGCCGUCUCCCUCCUUUGUCCUCUGUCCUGCUCUGUCCCUCUCCCCCUGUCCGCAUGGCCUUUCUUGCAGGGGAGCCUCCAACUCGCCCACCUCAGCCUGCCUUCUUCACUCAGAGUAAGUGGGGCUGCUUCCGAUGCCUUGGCCCCCGCCCCCGCCCCCUCUCUCUCACUCCUCUCCUGGAAGGUACAGAGCCUGGGCGGCUGGGCCGGAGGGGAGGUGGGUGUGUGCUGUGAGCUUCCGAGGCUGCCCUGGCCUAGCAUGCCGGCCCCCCCCCGAGCCCGCCCCCCAGAGCCUGGGCUUCUGCUCACGAGUGUGGCCCUGGCUUCCGCCUCGGCCUCACUCCCUCCCAGACCUGUCUGAGCUUCUGGAGCACGAGUGUGGCCCUGGCUUCUGCCUCGGCCUCGCUGCCUCCCAGACCUGCAGGCGCUGUCUGGGCCUUGUGGCCGUUGGUCAGGAGUGCUGUCCUCUCCAAGGAUAGUCCCUAUAGCCCCUGAUGGCAGGAGGCGGCUCCGUGCCUGCACUAAUGGUGUGCCGUGACAGGGGCGGGGAUGAGGGCUUACUAACUCGCCAGGGUGCAGGAGCAGGGCUGCCGGGGUCUUGUGCUGGUGGAGGCAGCGUCAGGCAGGAGCCAGUGUUGCUUGCUGCAGCUUAGACGGAGGGAGGCGGGGCUCACCGGCCCACAUGGGGCUGCCGGGCAGAGCAGGUUCCGCCCUCCUGAUGGAGUGGUCGGAGGUGCGCUGAGAACCUGGCCGCUGGUGGCUGACCUCAGACCUCGGGGGGAGUUGGGAGUGGAGGGUUGCUGGGGGACACUCGGCUUUCUUUCCCACGUGCCACCUCCCCUCGUGCCCCAGACCCUGCCUGACUGCCUUCCUGUUGGCCUCUCCCUUUCCAUCACAGAACCAACCUAUGACCCUGUGAGCGAGGACCAAGACCCCUUGUCCAGUGACUUCAAGAGGCUGGGCCUGCGGAAGCCAGGCCUGCCCCGAGGGCUGUGGCUGGCGAAGCCCUCGGCGCGGGUGCCGGGCACCAAGGCCAGCCGAGGCAGCGGGGCUGAGGUCACGCUCAUCGACUUUGGUGAGGAGCCCGUGGUCCCGGCCCUACGGCCCUGCGCGCCCUCCCUGGCGCAGCUGGCCAUGGACGCCUGCUCCCUGCUGGACGAGACCCCGCCUCAGAGCCCCACGCGGGCACUGCCCCGGCCCCUGCACCCCACACCUGUGGUGGACUGGGACGCACGCCCGCUGCCCCCCCCGCCCGCCUAUGACGACGUGGCCCAGGAUGAGGAUGACUUUGAGAUCUGCUCCAUCAACAGCACCCUCGUGGGCGCGGGGGUCCCUGCCGGGCCCAGCCAGGGCCAGACCAACUACGCCUUUGUGCCUGAGCAGGCGCGGCC
rnacentral:sRNA from 1 species